rnacentral:tRNA from 1 species
AUUUAGUUUAUUUAAAAUACUAGUUUGUCAAAUUAGAGAUAAUAAUUAUAUUAAU